GAGACAAGAAGGAACAUUCUACAUUAUUCUAGAAGGAAUUGCCACACUAGGAACAGAGCAAUGCUGAGCUGCUUGUCUCUUUAUACGUGGAAAUGGUGAGGGAAACUGAGCCUGAAGUGUGUGCGUGCUCCAGUGCCUUCUUAGACAUGCAGAAUGAUGGGCAGUCUCUGCUUGAAGACUUCAAGAGUGCAUGUGCAUGCAGAAACCAGAGAUGUCAUCUGCAGAAACACCGUUCACCUUCAUUGAGACAGAGUCUCUCAUUGUCCUGGAGCUGCCAAUUAGUCUCAACUGCAGCCAGCAAGCCCCAGAGCUUCUCCUGUUUCUGCCUCCCUAGCACUGGGGUUAAAAGUGCAGACCACCACUCUGCACCUUUAUUUACAUGGGUCCUUGGGAUCAAGUUUAGGUCCUUCAGGCUCCAGAGGCAGGUGCAUUACCCACUGUUGUGCAUGGGCCUGAUGCUGAUCUUGUGACCCAUCCCCUAAUGAAUAAAGGAGCCAAUCACUGGGCAAGUAGGAGGGACUUCCAGGUUGGACUGAGGAAGAGAGGAAGCAGGAGAGAGUUUGGGUUUUUUUGGUUUUUUUUUUUUGGACGAGGGUAGCCUGAGAACAGGAUGUAGCUACGGGUCUCCCAGUUUCAAUGGCGGAUCCUUUAGGGUUCGCCAUCAGAGGAUUUAGAUUUAACAAGGCUUACAAGAUUGAGAUUUUAGUUGCUGUGCCCAGUGAUUGAGUUACCUUCAUUUCUGAGCUAAGUUUGUGUUGUGUUUUCCUUCACGCAGCGGCUCGUCUGGAUUCAAGAAAGAAAGGUAUGGUGGCAAAGCGUGGGUUUGCCUGAGGUGCACCACAAAGGCCGUGGGGGAAUUUGAAGCAUGUGGUUGGCGUGGUAACAACUUGACAAUGGGAACCUAGCAAGUUGGGUGGAGAGAUUGUGGAGUUCUGAGUCAGAGUCUCCACAAGAUAAAAGGAGGUCAGCCAUUCCCCGCCAGUG